AUUUGGCCAAGACAUCACAAGCAAUAUACAAGUCCAGCGCACAUAGCCUUGUAAACAUUUUAUUGAGCAAUACAAAUGCUUUCCAGUUUCUGAAUCCAACAACAGAUUUGAGUGUGAGGCUGACUUAGGGCUAAGAGAGUGCGAAUUUCGCGUCUAAGGCUGCACGAUACAACGUGGGACAAAACCGGGUCGUGACACUAGUAAGCAUUUCUUUGAUCCAAUAGGAUCUGAAAAUCCUAAAAUUAUAAUUUUACUCUUUAUGCCUUUCCUAAUGUUGUCAGCUAUUUUGAGUUGGAAAAUACUAUCUAUUUUGCUAUUUGAUUUGUCAUUAAUCAUGAAAUUAUCAAAAUACACUAGAAAUACAUAAAAUACUCAAAUUAUAACAAAACAUACAUAAUUUAAAGGGCUUGAACACAUAACAAUAGAAAUGUUAGUGAGACUUGGAGCACAAAAUAAUAAUUUUACCCUUUAUAAAUAUGUAUUCUCCACUACUUAACAACAUUAGAAAAAGAAUACUUGAAGAGCAUUGUUGAUAUGGUUUUGUCCAAAGACUUUCAGGUAUGUUUAAAGUUCUAAAAGUUGGAUAAAAUUAUUGAGUACUUGUAAACCAUUUUGAUCAAUAUCCGCUUUUUGCAAGAACCAUGGAGACUUAUCUAGUGUGUAGAUAUUUUCUAUGUACUUAAUGUGGGUAGGUGGUAGGUGGUAGUUGUGCAAUAACUUACUCCUUUGUACUCUAUAUAUAGGAAAGGGUCUCAUUUGGCCAAGACAUCACAAGCAAUAUACAAGUCCAGCGCACAUAGCCUUGUAAACAUUUUAUUGAGCAAUACAAAUGCUUUCCAGUUUCUGAAUCCAGCAACAGAUUUGAGUGUGAGGCUGACUUAGGGCUAAGAGAGUGCGAAUUUGGCGUCUAAGGCUGCACGACACAACGUGGGACAAAACCGGGCCGUGACACUAGUAAGCAUUUCUUUGAUCCAAUAGGAUCUGAAAAUCCUAAAAUUAUAAUUUUACUCUUUAUGCCUUUCCUAAUGUUGUCAGCUAUUUUGAGUUGGAAAAUACUAUCUAUUUUGCUAUUUGAUUUGUCAUUAAUAAUGAAAUUAUCAAAAUACACUAGAAAUACAUAAAAUACUCAAAUUAUAACAAAACAUACAUAAUUUAAAGGACUUGAACACAUAACAAUAGAAAUGUUAGUGAGACUUGGAGCACAAAAUAAUAAUUUUACCCUUUAUAAAUAUGUAUUCUCCACUACUUAACAACAUUAGAAAAAGAAUACUUGAAGAGCAUUGUUGAUAUGGUUUUGUCCAAAGACUUUCAGGUAUGUUUAAAGUUCUAAAAGUUGGAUAAAAUUAUUGAGUACUUGUAAACCAUUUUGAUCAAUAUCCGCUUUUUGCAAGAACCAUGGAGACUUAUCUAGUGUGUAGAUAUUUUCUAUGUACUUAAUGUGGGUAGGUGGUAGGUGGUAGUUGUGCAAUAACUUACUCCUUUGUACUCUAUAUAUAGGAAAGGGUCUCAUUUGGCCAAGACAUCACAAGCAAUAUACAAGUCCAGCGCACAUAGCCUUGUAAACAUUUUAUUGAGCAAUACAAAUGCUUUCCAGUUUCUGAAUCCAGCAACAGAUUUGAGUGUGAGGCUGACUUAGGGCUAAGAGAGUGCGAAUUUGGCGUCUAAGGCUGCACGACACAACGUGGGACAAAACCGGGCCGUGACACUAGUAAGCAUUUCUUUGAUCCAAUAGGAUCUGAAAAUCCUAAAAUUAUAAUUUUACUCUUUAUGCCUUUCCUAAUGUUGUCAGCUAUUUUGAGUUGGAAAAUACUAUCUAUUUUGCUAUUUGAUUUGUCAUUAAUCAUGAAAUUAUCAAAAUACACUAGAAAUACAUAAAAUACUCAAAUUAUAACAAAACAUACAUAAUUUAAAGGGCUUGAACACAUAACAAUAGAAAUGUUAGUGAGACUUGGAGCACAAAAUAAUAAUUUUACCCUUUAUAAAUAUGUAUUCUCCACUACUUAACAACAUUAGAAAAAGAAUACUUGAAGAGCAUUGUUGAUAUGGUUUUGUCCAAAGACUUUCAGGUAUGUUUAAAGUUCUAAAAGUUGGAUAAAAUUAUUGAGUACUUGUAAACCAUUUUGAUCAAUAUCCGCUUUUUGCAAGAACCAUGGAGACUUAUCUAGUGUGUAGAUAUUUUCUAUGUACUUAAUGUGGGUAGGUGGUAGGUGGUAGUUGUGCAAUAACUUACUCCUUUGUACUCUAUAUAUAGGAAAGGGUCUCAUUUGGCCAAGACAUCACAAGCAAUAUACAAGUCCAGCGCACAUAGCCUUGUAAACAUUUUAUUGAGCAAUACAAAUGCGUUCCAGUUUCUGAAUCCAGCAACAGAUUUGAGUGUGAGGCUGACUUAGGGCUAAGAGAGUGCGAAUUUCGCGUCUAAGGCUGCACGACACAACGUGGGACAAAACCGGGCCGUGACACUAGUAAGCAUUUCUUUGAUCCAAUAGGAUCUGAAAAUCCUAAAAUUAUAAUUUUACUCUUUAUGCCUUUCCUAAUGUUGUCAGCUAUUUUGAGUUGGAAAAUACUAUCUAUUUUGCUAUUUGAUUUGUCAUUAAUCAUGAAAUUAUCAAAAUACACUAGAAAUACAUAAAAUACUCAAAUUAUAACAAAACAUACAUAAUUUAAAGGACUUGAACACGUAACAAUAGAAAUGUUAGUGAGACUUGGAGCACAAAAUAAUAAUUUUACCCUUUAUAAAUAUGUAUUCUCCACUACUUAACAACAUUAGAAAAAGAAUACUUGAAGAGCAUUGUUGAUAUGGUUUUGUCCAAAGACUUUCAGGUAUGUUUAAAGUUCUAAAAGUUGGAUAAAAUUAUUGAGUACUUGUAAACCAUUUUGAUCAAUAUCCGCUUUUUGCAAGAACCAUGGAGACUUAUCUAGUGUGUAGAUAUUUUCUAUGUACUUAAUGUGGGUAGGUGGUAGGUGGUAGUUGUGCAAUAACUUACUCCUUUGUACUCUAUAUAUAGGAAAGGGUCUCAUUUGGCCAAGACAUCACAAGCAAUAUACAAGUCCAGCGCACAUAGCCUUGUAAACAUUUUAUUGAGCAAUACAAAUGCUUUCCAGUUUCUGAAUCCAGCAACAAAUUUGAGUGUGAGGCUGACUUAGGGCUAAGAGAGUGCGAAUUUGGCGUCUAAGGCUGCACGACACAACGUGGGACAAAACCGGGCCGUGACACUAGUAAGCAUUUCUUUGAUCCAAUAGGAUCUGAAAAUCCUAAAAUUAUAAUUUUACUCUUUAUGCCUUUCCUAAUGUUGUCAGCUAUUUUGAGUUGGAAAAUACUAUCUAUUUUGCUAUUUGAUUUGUCAUUAAUAAUGAAAUUAUCAAAAUACACUAGAAAUACAUAAAAUACUCAAAUUAUAACAAAACAUACAUAAUUUAAAGGACUUGAACACAUAACAAUAGAAAUGUUAGUGAGACUUGGAGCACAAAAUAAUAAUUUUACCCUUUAUAAAUAUGUAUUCUCCACUACUUAACAACAUUAGAAAAAGAAUACUUGAAGAGCAUUGUUGAUAUGGUUUUGUCCAAAGACUUUCAGGUAUGUUUAAAGUUCUAAAAGUUGGAUAAAAUUAUUGAGUACUUGUAAACCAUUUUGAUCAAUAUCCGCUUUUUGCAAGAACCAUGGAGACUUAUCUAGUGUGUAGAUAUUUUCUAUGUACUUAAUGUGGGUAGGUGGUAGGUGGUAGUUGUGCAAUAACUUACUCCUUUGUACUCUAUAUAUAGGAAAGGGUCUCAUUUGGCCAAGACAUCACAAGCAAUAUACAAGUCCAGCGCACAUAGCCUUGUAAACAUUUUAUUGAGCAAUACAAAUGCUUUCCAGUUUCUGAAUCCAGCAACAGAUUUGAGUGUGAGGCUGACUUAGGGCUAAGAGAGUGCGAAUUUCGCGUCUAAGGCUGCACGACACAACGUGGGACAAAACCGGGUCGUGACACUAGUAAGCAUUUCUUUGAUCCAAUAGGAUCUGAAAAUCCUAAAAUUAUAAUUUUACUCUUUAUGCCUUUCCUAAUGUUGUCAGCUAUUUUGAGUUGGAAAAUACUAUCUAUUUUGCUAUUUGAUUUGUCAUUAAUCAUGAAAUUAUCAAAAUACACUAGAAAUACAUAAAAUACUCAAAUUAUAACAAAACAUACAUAAUUUAAAGGGCUUGAACACAUAACAAUAGAAAUGUUAGUGAGACUUGGAGCACAAAAUAAUAAUUUUACCCUUUAUAAAUAUGUAUUCUCCACUACUUAACAACAUUAGAAAAAGAAUACUUGAAGAGCAUUGUUGAUAUGGUUUUGUCCAAAGACUUUCAGGUAUGUUUAAAGUUCUAAAAGUUGGAUAAAAUUAUUGAGUACUUGUAAACCAUUUUGAUCAAUAUCCGCUUUUUGCAAGAACCAUGGAGACUUAUCUAGUGUGUAGAUAUUUUCUAUGUACUUAAUGUGGGUAGGUGGUAGGUGGUAGUUGUGCAAUAACUUACUCCUUUGUACUCUAUAUAUAGGAAAGGGUCUCAUUUGGCCAAGACAUCACAAGCAAUAUACAAGUCCAGCGCACAUAGCCUUGUAAACAUUUUAUUGAGCAAUACAAAUGCGUUCCAGUUUCUGAAUCCAGCAACAGAUUUGAGUGUGAGGCUGACUUAGGGCUAAGAGAGUGCGAAUUUGGCGUCUAAGGCUGCACGACACAACGUGGGACAAAACCGGGCCGUGACACUAGUAAGCAUUUCUUUGAUCCAAUAGGAUCUGAAAAUCCUAAAAUUAUAAUUUUACUCUUUAUGCCUUUCCUAAUGUUGUCAGCUAUUUUGAGUUGGAAAAUACUAUCUAUUUUGCUAUUUGAUUUGUCAUUAAUCAUGAAAUUAUCAAAAUACACUAGAAAUACAUAAAAUACUCAAAUUAUAACAAAACAUACAUAAUUUAAAGGACUUGAACACGUAACAAUAGAAAUGUUAGUGAGACUUGGAGCACAAAAUAAUAAUUUUACCCUUUAUAAAUAUGUAUUCUCCACUACUUAACAACAUUAGAAAAAGAAUACUUGAAGAGCAUUGUUGAUAUGGUUUUGUCCAAAGACUUUCAGGUAUGUUUAAAGUUCUAAAAGUUGGAUAAAAUUAUUGAGUACUUGUAAACCAUUUUGAUCAAUAUCCGCUUUUUGCAAGAACCAUGGAGACUUAUCUAGUGUGUAGAUAUUUUCUAUGUACUUAAUGUGGGUAGGUGGUAGGUGGUAGUUGUGCAAUAACUUACUCCUUUGUACUCUAUAUAUAGGAAAGGGUCUCAUUUGGCCAAGACAUCACAAGCAAUAUACAAGUCCAGCGCACAUAGCCUUGUAAACAUUUUAUUGAGCAAUACAAAUGCUUUCCAGUUUCUGAAUCCAACAACAGAUUUGAGUGUGAGGCUGACUUAGGGCUAAGAGAGUGCGAAUUUCACGUCUAAGGCUGCACGAUACAACGUGGGACAAAACCGGGUCGUGACACUAGUAAGCAUUUCUUUGAUCCAAUAGGAUCUGAAAAUCCUAAAAUUAUAAUUUUACUCUUUAUGCCUUUCCUAAUGUUGUCAGCUAUUUUGAGUUGGAAAAUACUAUCUAUUUUGCUAUUUGAUUUGUCAUUAAUCAUGAAAUUAUCAAAAUACACUAGAAAUACAUAAAAUACUCAAAUUAUAACAAAACAUACAUAAUUUAAAGGACUUGAACACAUAACAAUAGAAAUGUUAGUGAGACUUGGAGCACAAAAUUAUAAUUUUACCCUUUAUAAAUAUGUAUUCUCCACUACUUAACAACAUUAGAAAAAGAAUACUUGAAGAGCAUUGUUGAUAUGGUUUUGUCCAAAGA
rnacentral:lncRNA from 1 species